GGUAAGAUGGCCGAGCAAAGGUAGUGGGUUGUAGCCCCAAGUACAGAGGUUUAAGUCCUCUUUUUACCA
rnacentral:tRNA from 1 species